rnacentral:rRNA from 1 species
UACGAAGGGGGCUAGCGUUGCUCGGAAUCACUGGGCGUAAAGCGCGCGUAGGCGGACGAUUAAGUCGGGGGUGAAAUCCUGGGGCUCAACCCUAGAACUGCCUUCGAUACUGAUCGUCUCGAGUCCGGGAGAGGUGAGUGGAACUCCGAGUGUAGAGGUGAAAUUCGUAGAUAUUCGGAAGAACACCAGUGGCGAAGGCGGCUCACUGGCCCGGUACUGACGCUGAGGCGCGAAAGCGUGGGGAGCAAACAGGG